UCCAUCUCAGCCAGCUCCCUGAUGUGGUGGCUAGAACAUCCUCCAAGACAGUGGAAGGGGCGUCACAGGGUCAAGUCUUUUUUGAUUUUGUUGAGUUAAAAGUCAUCCUAUUUGUGACUCCAGUCUGACUCAACUCCACGUCACUGGACUUAAGUCCACAUCUCUGCCCCAAGAGUCUGCACCAGAAAGAAGAGUCUGGAGGUCAGCUGUUCAAACCUCACAACCUCCUUACAUCCUGUCUGUGCCCUCCUGCUCCCCUUCUUGAUCUCUCAUUGUGUGUUCCUGAUCUAGACAGACAUCUCCUUCAGACAGGUCACCUGCCGUUCCCUCUGUCGUGCUAAGGAUUAUCCCAGGAAGUGAAUUGGAGCAACAGUAAUGUGGAGCGUGCCUCUUACUCUCCUCUUCUGUCAGUCACCCCGCUGCCCUAAAACUGUCCUAAAUGACUUAAUCUACAGGGCGACAGUACUCCACCAGAGAGGCUGCUGAGUGAGGAGCGUUUCUAUGCGCUACUCUCCAGCCGUGACCUUCCACGACGAGAGAGAGAGAGUUUGCAUAAAUGAACUGGCUUACGAGACAUGAUUAGACGGAGGGAGAUGCAGCGAGACAAGGCAGAGGUACGAGGUUCAGGUGGCAUCAGUGUCUGUAUUUGCUGCCUUGAUGUCUCAGUACGUGGGAACAACAGAGACAGAACGACUGACAUUUUGUCGAAAAAUAAAUAAAAAUCAUUGUCUGAUAUGCUCUUUUCUUAAACAUAAACCUCAGCAGCUUUAAAAAUCUGACAUUAGGAGUACAA